AUUAUUUUAUUUCAUACCCAUUGGAACAGGAUGAAAAGUAACGAAGUGAAAAGCGAAGAAGGUAGUUUGAUGAUAAGAAUGUGUUAACAGUUUUACAAAAACUUUUCUAAUUUUUAGGAUACAUAUGUUGGAUGGAUAACCAACUGAAUGAAUUGCAAUUGGCAGGCUGUGAAAUACCUGGCUUCUUCACUUGUCAGCUUUCUGGCCAUUUUUCUGAGAUGCAAACAUGAACUCAGCAAGUUUGUCCUUCAUCCCCCUCUCUUUCUUAGAGUUUUAUCAGGAACUCAGCAGAUGACUGCCUCUGUCUAUCAGGAGAGCAGAAUGACUGCAAGUAGAAAUGAUCAAGAAAAAACACAGAUCUUUAUUGUCCAAAUACUAGGCUGAAUGGCAGCAAGGAUGAAAUUAGCUUUUCUUUAUCACUUUUUGAUUAUCCCUUUCACCAGUUUGAAGUGUACUUGGAGAGGAGUUUGGUUGGUUGGUUGGUUGAUUGUUUCACUUGGAGCUCAUUUCUCUGGGACCUUCAGGCCCAUGCAGAGUUGGUAUUUGCUUAGAGAGAACAUGAUAAAUGUCUCUCUCAAGAGAAUAGGGUUAUAAUUGAGGGUCCUCAAUCAGGUCACAUAGAAGUACAAAUGUGGCCACUCUGAGGAGUUCUGUACCCUUUUCUGCAUUUACUUCCAAACAGGUUGUAACUGCAAACAUAUGGUGCAGUUGCAUUUGGAACAGGGAGAUGACAUCAGGACAAGAUGCUCUAAGGUCAGGAGAAAACUGUACACAAGUAAAAUGGAGAAGUUGAUCCAGGUGCAGAGGAAUGCUGGAUGGAAAGGAAUAAGCAGCAGAAUAAUUUAUCUGACACAUAUAAUUCACUGUGACCCACUUCCUCCAGAACUUCCAUAUGUGCAAUACUGAAACAGAAAGCAACUGCAUGAAGCAGACGUGCUCAAGGAGCUCUUUCUGACCUCAGUCUCCGCCAAGAAAACCAAAACUGGGACAGGGACUUUCUGUAACUUCCUUUCACAUCGCCGUGCAUGCUUUUACUUGUUCCUGGCUGUUCUCCCUGGUAGCAAGGGGAGAACGAGGACAAACACAGAGGAUGAGCAGUUCCUGUGGAGAGCUUGCUCCAAGGAUGGCCACAGCACCCUGCAGCACUAGGCCAACGCCAUAUCGGCAUUCUGGCACGUUCCUGGGGACGGUUUCGGGACCAGUUUGGGGUCCGUUUUUGGGCCUGGUGUCAAAGCAGCUUCAGGCUCCCUCUCCUCCCCCACGCCAGCUCCCUUCCCCUCCCCCCAUUCCAACGGCUGUUCUCCGAACUCUCUAGAGACUCCUCGUGCCCGAAGCCCCGGUUGCUAGGCAACACCAUUUACCUCACGCGCAUUGCCAUGGUGACAGCUCCCGGCGGGCGGGCCGCCAUGGCAGCUGCUCACACGGCGGCCGUCGGAGCCCCACACGGCUACACGGGGGGCACGGAACCGCCUCGCCUCACCUCAGGCAGGACCCCAGGCCACCCUCCCUUCCGUCUUGUGGCCGCAGGUAGCAAGGCCAGGCAGCACUCCCAGCACUGGCAGGCACAUUCCAGGACCACUGCCCUCUGACAAGACGUGUUUCAUAAAAGCACUGAACGGGCACUUGGGGAAGGCAAUUUGGGCAAAUUGUUUACUUCCAUAUAUGCCAUGUGUAGUGGGAACAGUUUUCUCCAGAGCUGCCAGAGGGACAUCAGGAGCACGCAUGUGGGCGCGCACCCAUACAUGUGUGCAUAGCCAAGAGAGGAGAGAUUGCAAAAGGAUCAUCCUGAGUGGGACUUUAGCCCUAAAAAUGCUUGCUCUCCUAUUCUAGGGAAACACUCUCUUACCGCUACUGGUGAAACAGCAAGUAAGCAAAGAAGGUAAAACCAUGGUGCUAUUCCUUAGCAAGAAGCAAAAUGGUAGAAUGGAACAGGUAGAAUGGAACACCAAAACCCCUCUAGCAACUGGAAGAUGACAGUUAAAAAAGCAGAGUGAGCAGAGUCACUAAAAAGACUGCAAGCAAAAUAAAAUUAAUCAUCCAAGCAAAACAAGGCAAACCUUUUGGCCCUUUGUAACAGGUAGGUGGCUUUCCUCGAUAAAUAGCAGCAAAUCUUUUUGAGUAUUUUUGUAUAAUAAAUCCAGUUCUUACAGUUACAAUGGGAAUAAGAUAAACAAUUUUGUUUUUCUGAAGUUGCUCUAAUGCCUUUGCUGUAUCUUACAUGUUUGCCAAGUGGUAGCUAUUUAGUUACUCACUGUUUUCACUGUUGGGUGACCAAAAAAGUGAAUGAUAGUGAACUUGUUCUUUCCACAACUGAUUAGAGAAGCCCUCAACAGUUUCAUGUUUCAGAAAGAAGUGAAACCCACAAGCAGGCUGGGAAGGGUAAAGCAAAAGUGAUAACAGAGCCCGGAGCAGCUAGAACGCUUUGAGAAGGGUAUCAUAUGAUUUCUUCUUGAGUGAAAUUUUAAGCCUUCUUAGCAGAUUUCUUGAAGUCCCAGAAGAGUCAUUAAAUUACAGAUUCUUUUCUCAGAUAGGGAUGUAUUUUUUUUUUCUUGCCAGAGAUAUUUUUGUUAGUGAAAUUACUUUCUGGUAUUAUGGUGUUUCUUUUGCCUUGCAUAGGACCUGUUUAUAAUCAGAGAAGUCAUAUUCAUUCUAUCCUAUUAAAUCACUAUU